CCGGAGCUUGCUCCACCGAAAGAAAAGGAGUGGCGAACGGGUGAGUAACACGUGGGUAACCUGCCCAUCAGAAGGGGAUAACACUUGGAAACAGGUGCUAAUACCGUAUAACAAUCGAAACCGCAUGGUUUUGAUUUGAAAGGCGCUUUCGGGUGUCGCUGAUGGAUGGACCCGCGGUGCAUUAGCUAGUUGGUGAGGUAACGGCUCACCAAGGCCACGAUGCAUAGCCGACCUGAGAGGGUGAUCGGCCACAUUGGGACUGAGACACGGCCCAAACUCCUACGGGAGGCAGCAGUAGGGAAUCUUCGGCAAUGGACGAAAGUCUGACCGAGCAACGCCGCGUGAGUGAAGAAGGUUUUCGGAUCGUAAAACUCUGUUGUUAGAGAAGAACAAGGAUGAGAGUAACUGUUCAUCCCUUGACGGUAUCUAACCAGAAAGCCACGGCUAACUACGUGCCAGCAGCCGCGGUAAUACGUAGGUGGCAAGCGUUGUCCGGAUUUAUUGGGCGUAAAGCGAGCGCAGGCGGUUUCUUAAGUCUGAUGUGAAAGCCCCCGGCUCAACCGGGGAGGGUCAUUGGAAACUGGGAGACUUGAGUGCAGAAGAGGAGAGUGGAAUUCCAUGUGUAGCGGUGAAAUGCGUAGAUAUAUGGAGGAACACCAGUGGCGAAGGCGACUCUCUGGUCUGNAACUGACGCUGAGGCUCGAAAGCGUGGGGAGCAAACAGGAUUAGAUACCCUGGUAGUCCACGCCGUAAACGAUGAGUGCUAAGUGUUGGAGGGUUUCCGCCCUUCAGUGCUGCAGCUAACGCAUUAAGCACUCCGCCUGGGGAGUACGACCGCAAGGUUGAAACUCAAAGGAAUUGACGGGGGCCCGCACAAGCGGUGGAGCAUGUGGUUUAAUUCGAAGCAACGCGAAGAACCUUACCAGGUCUUGACAUCCUUUGACCACUCUAGAGAUAGAGCUUCCCCUUCGGGGGCAAAGUGACAGGUGGUGCAUGGUUGUCGUCAGCUCGUGUCGUGAGAUGUUGGGUUAAGUCCCGCAACGAGCGCAACCCUUAUUGUUAGUUGCCAUCAUUUAGUUGGGCACUCUAGCAAGACUGCCGGUGACAAACCGGAGGAAGGUGGGGAUGACGUCAAAUCAUCAUGCCCCUUAUGACCUGGGCUACACACGUGCUACAAUGGGAAGUACAACGAGUCGCGAAGUCGCGAGGCUAAGCUAAUCUCUUAAAGCUUCUCUCAGUUCGGAUUGUAGGCUGCAACUCGCCUACAUGAAGCCGGAAUCGCUAGUAAUCGCGGAUCAGCACGCCGCGGUGAAUACGUUCCCGGGCCUUGUACACACCGCCCGUCACACCACGAAAGUUUGUAACACCCGAAGUCGGUGAGGUAACCUUUUUGGAGCCAGCCGCCUAAGGUGGGAUAGAUGAUUGGGNGAAGU
rnacentral:rRNA from 1 species